rnacentral:RNase_P_RNA from 1 species
CUAGCAAAAAGGCUUGUCGCUCCCGUUUUCGCGGGGGAGGAAAGUCCGGGCAACACAGAGCAUCCUGCUUCCUAACGGGAAGGGUCCCUGUACCGAAGCUCCGGUUCAUCCCGGCUUCAGCAGGGAUACAGCAAGUGCCACAGAAAACAGGUAGCCUUGCCUGACGUCGCUUGCGGCGCCGGCGGGUCAUAGUGAAAACGCGGGGUAAGAGCCCACGGCUUCCUGCAGCAAUGCAGGAUGCAGGUAAACCUCAGGAGUUGAAAGGCCAAAUAAACCGGGGCUAGAGGGCUGCUCGCCCGAUCCCUGUGGGUAGGCUGAUGGACCGUUCCAGCGAUGGAACGGCUAGAUAAAUGACAAGCAGUUCCCCGCCUCUGGCAUGGGAAUGAACAGAACCCGGCUUACUCUUUUGCUUUUUU